rnacentral:rRNA from 1 species
CAACUUUCAACAACGGAUCUCUUGGUUCUGGCAUCUAUGAAGAACGCAUCGAAAAGCUAUACGUAUCGUGAAUUGCAUAAUUCACUGAAUCACCCAAUCUUUGAACGCACAUUGCGCCCUUUGGUAUUCCAAAGGGCAUGCCUGUUCCAGCGUCAUUG